UCCUGGUAGCUCAGAGGGUAAAGCAUCUGCCUGCAAUGUAGGAGACCCGGGUUCGAUCCCUGGGUCGGGAA
rnacentral:tRNA from 1 species